UAACAGAGUUGGAUAAUUGUUUAAUGAAGAAAAGGAUAACUCCUUCAGUUUUUUCUCUUGUGCUCCAAGAGUGACUCUAGUAUUAUCCUUCCUCUUCCCUUUAGCCUUUUUUUUCCUUCUCCUCUUCUCAUUUUUUCUCUACACGUAAUCAAUGUUUUUUCUAAUUGUUCUUCAUCAAAAAUACCUCCUUUAUUGCCAUUGAUCUUUCAUAUCACACGCAUCUCAGAUUAUUUCUUCUGGGAAAUUCAAAAGAGCAUAUGAUUUCAAUUGUUCAAUUGUAGAAAACCUUAAAAACACUGUCAAGGCCUAAAAUCCUAAGCCCUAGGAUAGAUUACAGUCAACCAUUGUUUAUUUUAUUUAAGAACGUAGUUUUCUGUUUCAAUUUUAUUGAAAACACAGGUCAUAACCUGAAAUUCCAGCAACAUAUAGAUUUAGUCCUCUUCCUAAACCCUAAUAAGUCCUCUUUCAUAGACUAUCCUAAAUUCCAGCAACAUAUUUAUAUGACAGAACAAAACAAUGCUAAACUCAAAAUGGUGUUCUAGAAGGAUACAAUCGUUAAGUUUAACAGCCUAUUACAAUGCUAAAGGGUGUUUGACCCUAAGACCCAUUUAAAGUCCAUUCUAAUAUAAAUAUGUUUUUAAGGGACAGCUUAGAAACAAGUUCACACUCAUUUCGUUUAUCGUAGUUUAUCAUAGAACUUGAUAUAUAGGUUACACUAACGGGAAGCCAUCUUUUGCCUAAAAUGACCCUAAGACAUAAAAAUCCACCUCACUAGGUUCCCUCCCUAGUUUUGGCUUUUGACUUUGUGCUCAUGUCACAACAAAAAGGACAACCCUAGCAGUGAUCAGCAAUGCACCUCCUUGAUAAUUGUUCCCAGACUUUAGUCCCAACAACAGGAACAUAAAACCAGAAAAUUAAGUGCACGCGACUCACUAGUAUAUCUUCUACAUUUACUCCUACUCCAGUCCAUCUUCUUAUCUUUUUUUUUUUGUGAUUCUGUGGUCAACAAUGGCGAUACUUUCCAACAAAGCCCUAAAAUCCUCAAGAAGACAAGGGUAUGAACAGAAACUAAUGAACUGUUGAAACU
rnacentral:lncRNA from 1 species